ensembl:lncRNA
GGGAAGUGAAAAAGGAUUCAACCAAUCGGUCAGCUUCUCCAGCAAACACUAAACUCAGUCAUGGGCCAGCAAACAGCAAAUUGACCUCAACCAAUCAACGGGCCAUUGCAGGGCUGGCCAAAUCAGCUUCAACCAAUCAGAAAGUGAAUGCCAAGAGCACCACAGGCAAAGAAGCGACUUCAGCCAUGAAGGAGAAGGUGAAGAAGAAUCCACAAUCUGAAAUGGCUAGCAAAACCAAAGAUGCACAUCCACCAAACUAAAUAAAUCUUGAGAGCUCGACAUUUUUAAUCUUAAAUGAGAAGGGCUAUUUUAAGGCCAAUUUAUAUCUACGGCCCAGACCGUAAAUCUCUUCUAUGAGUAAAUGAGCCAAACCGUUACAAGUGAAGCUUGAGUGUUAAACCAUCAGGGCUUUAACUGAUUUCACUACGUAAAGUAUCAAUCCGAAUAUUGUAUUCGUCUUAGCAGAAACAGCUUUUUGGCUCAUGGUGGUUUUUUAACAGUUAUUCAAUUUUAAAUAGGCGCAAUUGGUGGACUGAAAAUCAUUGGAGUCAAAAACCAUUCUGCUGUCAAGUUUACGAACGCUGCAUAGAGUGUAGUUUGUGGACUGUGUGUUCCCGUGUUGAAUGUAAAUUUCUUUGUUUUAUCGUCUGGGGUGCCUUACAUUUCAAAGUUUUUACCCUAAUUAUAUCAGGAAAUAUAUCCCCAACAUUAUUUUUAUUUCAGUGGUGUCAUAACUUUUGUGUGUUUGCCUAUGAUCAUAAUGACAUGAUCACUGAUAUAUGAGGAGGAAACGUAAUUGUUUAUUUGAGGAAAAGGAAACAAACUUGAGCAGAUUACACAGAUUAUUAUAUUGUAAUACUCUUUUACACUUGAGAUGACAACAAAAAAUUUCACUAUAUGUAGUUUAUUGAUGCAUAGUGUUUGGGAUUGAGUAUGAAAUGAGUGUUAUCGGGGGAAAAAACAACAGUAUCAUGCUCAAAUGCCAAGCUAGUGCAUGAUUGGAAUAAAAUGUAAAGUUUUGGAUAUGAGAACGUAGGAUCCUUUAAUCUUCUGUUUUAACAGAUUUAACAAACUUUGAUUUUUGGCUUAAAUUAGAAAUGUUUCUCUUUACUUGAAGUUUUAUUUUCUAAGUAUUUUUAUUGCUUUAAAAAAAAAGAAAAAAAAGAAAGGAGUUUAUAUUCCAGGAAAAAAAAAAAGUUUUACAUUUUAUUGGCGAAAGGGAUUUUUUUUCUCUCUCUCAGUUUUGAGUGAUUUUAAUUGUCAUCAGAUUUAAUAGAUUCUAAUCAUAUUUGUAUUGCUUAUUGCAACUUAUUUGGUUAAUGCAGCUAUAUAAUAGAAAUAUAAACUGUACAUAAAAAUGAGGAAUUGCUAUGAUUUGGUUGAUUUAAAUUUUUAUUGAGCUGUAUUACUGUAGUAUUGUUUUGCGUGCGCUGGUGUGUUCGUAUGCAUGUAAGGUUCCUAUUUUCCCUCUCUUUUUUUUUUGCCUAUAAAUUGUAACAUGUAAAAAAUACAUAUAUUAAAAAAAAAAAAUUAAAAUCUGUUUAUAAAAACCCAAAACCUUUCGGUUGUGUCAUUUUUAAGUGAUAUUUGGAUAUUAUGGAGACAGGGAUAUUGUAAUGUGUACUAUUGCUGCAUUCAUGUCCUAUUGGAAUUAAGGUGAAUACAAGAUUUUUCAAUUUACAACUUGCAUAUGAAUGUCCCUUCAAGUUAUAAUUACAAAUAGACACUUCGGAAGUAUUAUUAAUACCUUAGUUUCUGACUUUAAUACUG